AUUGCAGCACAAGUCAAAUUUCAUUCAACAUGUGCGUGUAAUUUUUUUUUUAUUAUAAUGAAGUGUUCCACGUGCGCUAAAAAGUGCCCCCCAAAAUGUCUGUGCACGCCACUGCCUAAGUCCUUGCAACCAUGAAGAGGCUGACACUAGAAUCUUUCUGCAUGCCCUUCAUGCAGCUGCGUGUAAUCUGUGUUGUGUUGAACCCAGGCAAUUCAGCCCUGCACACGCCCGGACUCGAACAGCAGCACCUCGGAUUGGGAGUCGACCGUGCUGACAAUUGAGCUAAAAGCCCAGGCUACUAGCUUGCAUGCCAGCAGCACUCUUGAGGCGUCGGGGAGUGAGGUUUACCAGCGUUCCACACACACAGCUAAGCUAGCUGGCGUCCGUUACAUGUGCAACAGAAGAAAUCUGUGUUGAUUAAGGCCUGUGACACGGAUAUUCUUGCUAUUGCUAUUUGGGACUCUACGGGAUGCAGGCUUAGAGGAGCUGUGGAUUGAAUUUGGUCAAAGUAAGUCUGUCAAAUGGCAUGCUUUUUGUCCAUGCCCUCACUGGUUGUGAUGUGUUAGCCUUUCGUGGUGGAGGCAAAUGGACUGCCUGGAAAUCCUGAGAAGUGUGCCCUGAAGCGUCUCAGCACACUUGAAGUUUGUCAUAGCAAUGUACAAAGAAUAGCACUGCUAAUGGGAGUUGAUGAAACAAGACUUGACCUGUUUGCACGGAAGCAGAGGUCCUAUGAUUCCAUUCCACCAACAUGGGCAUCUCUUGCUAAGCAUGUGAAGUGUGCAACCUAUCAAGCUGCCUGUUGGAGGAAAAGAAGGUGACAUUUGGCAAGUAGUGUGGAUGACACUCCCACCAAUUGCCAAGAGCUGACAACAAUUGACUAAAUGUGUCAAGAUUGAAUAUCUGGGAAGAUGUAAAUGCUACCACAUUAGUCUUGAGUGUACUCUGUGGUGUGCCUGCAAAUGCAAUGAUUAAAUUAAUUUGUAAUGCAGACAUUCUGAUAUGGCUAGCUACAGAGCAGAGGCGUCACGUUACUGGGGCCCCGUCUCCCUUUCCCACACAUUUCCUGUUAGUCUUUGAUAUAUAUAUACACAGCGGCCGUAUUGUGUCACACCUGACUGACGUCACUAGAUGCGACACUCAUUGUACCAAUUGAGGGCUCCGGUGUUUCUUUAAAAAGUACGGCGCUGGUAAUGCCACUGCAGCGGCAGAGUUUUGUUUGAUUGUUUACCGUGUGUCGGUGUUCAAUGCGGGUUUCUUCGGCGAGCUGGAGCCUGUGGAUAUUCGUCUCUUGACUGCAAAGGGUGCAGUUGUUGGCAUUGUGCUUAAUAGCAUCAUUGGCAGUGCUUUUGCUGUCCUUCCCCUUGAGAGCAACCGGAGUGUUGCAGGCCGGAGGCUAGGUGGUUUCUGCCUUUUCGUUUCGGCUGCUUAGGUUGACUGUACGCCCCUCCCCGUUGCGAGGAAGUCCCUGUGAAUCCCCGGUUGCGGUGGCCUGCUCACUGCAAGUAACUGAGGCUUCCUUCUCCCACUGACUGCUGUUUUGUUAAUAGUGAAUUUUAUAAUACGAUCACCUUCGAUCAUUGAGCCUGGCCCGUCCUUCACGUGUGCCCAGAUCCUCAGCGUGGUAAGAGUCUGCAUGUGUGAUUGUGUGGUGCCAUUGAUUGAUUGGGGGGGGGGGGGGGGGGGGGGGGGUGUGCAUGCGUAAUUGUGAGGUGUGCGGUGCAUGUCUAUGUGCGUGUGUAAGUGGGGUGCAUGUGUGUGUGUGAUUGCGUGCAUGUGGUUAUUUUGGUUAGUCUCGUUUGGGUUGGUGUAGUUCCCCCAUUCUGUGUGUCAUAUAUUUUGUUUGUUUUGUCUCUGUAU